GGUGGCUCAGUGGUAGAGUACUUGCCUUGCAUGCAUGAGACCCUGGGUUCGAUUCCACAGCACCA
rnacentral:tRNA from 1 species